rnacentral:rRNA from 1 species
UACGGGGGGAGCAAGCGUUGUUCGGAUUUACUGGGCGUAAAGGGCGCGUAGGCGGCCACCGCAAGUCGACUGUGAAAUCUCCGGGCUUAACCCGGAACGGUCAGCCGAUACUGCGGGGCUAGAGUGCAGAAGGGGCAACUGGAAUUCUCGGUGUAGCGGUGAAAUGCGUAGAUAUCGAGAGGAACACCUGCGGCGAAGGCGGGUUGCUGGGCAUUAACUGACGCUGAGGAGCGAAAGCAUGGGGAGCGAACAGG